AUCAAGAGUAAUUCGUGGCGUGAAGUCAGAUGGACAUCGGCAUCUAAAGUAAUAAUACUAACAUUAAUAGAUAACUUACGGCUUCUUUUGUGGUGGCCUUCUUAUAUUCUGUGGAGGCAUUGCUGAUUGAUGUUGUUGUCUACUAGGAUGAGACCUGAACUCAGUCUCCUGCACUGAUGAUGGUCUGCUAUCGCUCGUUAUUCCGUACUCGCUUUUCUCUCUACACUCACAUUCUGUAUGAUUGUAAAACGACAGCUUCUCCACUACAUUUCCACCUUCAAUGCUUGUAGUCUACAACAGAAAAUAAUAUCCUUUUUAAUCAAUUUUUCUAUACGAUUAUAAAUAGCUGCACGACAAUAGACAGCUAGGAAUUGUUAGUAAACAUACUGCUGUCAUGUUUUCUUGACUCUUAUUUAUAUCAUUUAUGAUAAUAAUCUUCAACCAGGGUGCGGUGAA